rnacentral:rRNA from 1 species
UACGGAGGGUGCAAGCGUUAUCCGGAUUCACUGGGUUUAAAGGGUGCGUAGGUGGGCAGGUAAGUCAGUGGUGAAAUCUCCGGGCUUAACUCGGAAACUGCCAUUGAUACUAUCUGUCUUGAAUACCGUGGAGGUUAGCGGAAUAUGUCAUGUAGCGGUGAAAUGCUUAGUAGUAUGACAUAGAACACCAAUUGCGAAGGCAGCUGGCUACACGAAUAUUGACACUGAUGCACGAAAGCGUGGGGAUCAAACAGGA